rnacentral:lncRNA from 1 species
CCUAAGGCUGCAGGAGCUGUUCCGGCUUCUGCUCCGGCUCCGCGUCCUGUAAUUUGGAAGCCUAGAAAAUUCUAAUUUCCUUCCACCAAGUUGCAGUUAGCCCUCCGUAGACUGAUUGCAAGGAAGAGAGGCAGAAACAGACCCACAAGGUUGAGGUCACCGGGCUGCGGGUGGGGACCGUCCACUAGCUGGGCCUGAGUGACAGAGGGCGCGGCGGGACUUCAGAAGGCUGUGCGCUCGCUCGCAGGUCGUUUCUGCACACAGCUCUUGAGUUGAUUAGUUCUAGUGCUGAGCCUGGGCAUCCAUAAAGUGAACUAAAUCCUGUUUAAUCAUUCUGCCUUUUAGACCGUGAUUUCUCCUCUUUAACUGUACAGCGCCUCAAUUCCAACAGUUGAGACUUAGGGUUUUCUGAUCUAUAGGGAUGAGCCCAGUGCAUGGUAGUCCAAACAAGAACUGAUAGGAAAAGACUCCGGAGGUCGCUGGACACACGAGGUCUUUCCGUCUUUUAGACAACCUGCGGUUGGCUAGCAGCAUCUUCACUAGGCAACUUAAAACCACUCCAGCUCUAGACCUCCCCACCCGCUUUUCUCUCUCCCUCCUUCUCUUCUCACCAACACUCACAGUCGAGACAGAGAGGAAGGGGAGAGAGAAUAUAUCCCUAAUAUUUCUAUGUAUCUCUAGUUGGCCUGAAAUUUGCUAUGUAGAUAUAUAGACCAGGAUGGCUUGUAACUUAGAGUUCUACCUGUCUCUGCUUACUGAAGAUCUGGAGUUAAAGUAGCCGCUAAAAAUAAGUCUAAAAACCAAAAACCUCAAUUUGUGAGUCGGCUCAGCAGAUAAAGGUGCUUGCUGCCAGCUUUGACCAGUUGAACUCAAUCAUCAGGACACACAUGGUGAAGGGAGAGAACCAACUCAUUCUCUGACCACACACACAAUGGAUAAAUUGAUGCAAUGCAUUUUCUUGUAGAAACAUAUAUUGAAAGCGGAAGAGAACUGCCACACAUACAUACAUACCCGGGGUGGGGGUCCUCUUAUAGCAGUUGAGAUAAGUUAUAUUUGAGAAGAGUUUUAAGGUAGCUUACUAUCUUGAGAUAGUUGAUCUUGUAACACCAUUGGUGCUCAGAACCAUUCUGAGUUAGCCUGUUGGUGACUCCAAGCUGUUAAGGUCUGUGCUAUGCAGUGAGAAAUUUUUGUUUUUAAAUAUUUAUUUAUUCAUUAUCUAUUUCAUGUGUGUGCCACCCCAAGCAUGGCUGUGGGGUCAGAGGGCAAUGAGUGAAUCUGUUCUCUCCUUUCACCACACCUUCUUAGAUAUCCCACUAAAAAGGUGGGAAGGCCGCAUUGCGGAGCGAAUUCUUACGAAGCUUUUUAGCUACUGCCGUUAACAUUCACUCAUGUCCAUUGCAGGCUUUGAAACUGCACACUGUUGGUCUGCAUAGGCUUUUGUGCUUCCAGAAACUCCACAACUUUGUCAGGCCCACCUUGUGACUACAGCAGACCAUCUAUGUGGGAUCCAGUCGUGCUCUUCUGAACUCAUGGAAUUGUCCUUUGACAAAGCUGACGAGAGUGGAUUUCUCUACUGCAGACCUCAUGGCAGGACUCGAGACACCGUGUAGUGUCUCAGGCUCUGGCCUUCACCAAACCAUUGUAUUACAUUAAAUAUUAGCCAACAGAGACUAGGAAGAUAGCCCAACAAUCAAUAUCACUUACUGCUCGUGCAGACCUUCAUUGCAUCCUCAGAACCCACGUCAGGCAGCUCACAACUACCUGUCAUGUCAGCUCCAGG